AACGAACGCUGGCGGCAGGCUUAACACAUGCAAGUCGAACGCAUCCUUCGGGGUGAGUGGCAGACGGGUGCGUAACGCGUGGGAACGUGCCCUUCAGUUCGGGAUAACCCAGGGAAACUUGGCCUAAUACCGGAUACGUGCGAGACAAGAAAGAUUUAUCGCUGAAGGAUCGGCCCGGGUCUGAUUAGCUAGUUGGUGGGGUAAUGGCCCACCAAGGCGACGAUCAGUAGCUGGUCUGAGAGGAUGAUCAGCCACAUUGGGACUGAAACACGGCCCAAACUCCUACGGGAGGCAGCAGUGGGGAAUAUUGGACAAUGGGCGCAAGCCUGAUCCAGCCAUGCCGCGUGAGUGAUGAAGGCCUUAGGGUUGUAAAGCUCUUUCGUCCGGGACGAUAAUGACGGUACCGGAAGAAGAAGCCCCGGCUAACUUCGUGCCAGCAGCCGCCGUAA
rnacentral:rRNA from 1 species